CCUACGGGAGGCAGCAGUGGGGAAUUUUGGACAAUGGGCGCAAGCCUGAUCCAGCAAUGCCGCGUGAGUGAAGAAGGCCUUCGGGUUGUAAAGCUCUUUUGUCAGGGAAGAAACGGUGGGGGCUAAUAUCUCCUACUAAUGACGGUACCUGAAGAAUAAGCACCGGCUAACUACGUGCCAGCAGCCGCGGUAAUACGUAGGGUGCAAGCGUUAAUCGGAAUUACUGGGCGUAAAGCGUGCGCAGGCGGUUUUGUAAGUCUGUCGUGAAAGCCCCGGGCUCAACCUGGGAAUUGCGAUGGAGACUGCAAGGCUUGAAUCUGGCAGAGGGGGGUAGAAUUCCACGUGUAGCAGUGAAAUGCGUAGAGAUGUGGAGGAACACCGAUGGCGAAGGCAGCCCCCUGGGUCAAGAUUGACGCUCAUGCACGAAAGCGUGGGGAGCAAACAGGAUUAGAUACCCUGGUAGUCCACGCCCUAAACGAUGUCUACUAGUUGUCGGGUUUUAAUUAACUUGGUAACGCAGCUAACGCGUGAGUAGACCGCCUGGGGAGUACGGUCGCGAAGAGUAAACGUUACGAAGUAAGUUAGAGGCGUUGAGAGNGCGACGGACGACGACGAGGGAGGAGG
rnacentral:rRNA from 1 species